GCGAGGGACUGGAGGGGGUGUAGGUGGCGAAAACAGAGUGGCGGAAGGAAGCGUUGGAGAGGGAAUCAAAGUCAGCCUUGCGCUUGGAGGGGUGAUAGGGGCACUGUUGGAUAUCCUUAGAGGAGGAAGGUUGGCAGGGAUUGAAGUUAUGUUGCGGAUGAAUGGGAUGAGAAAGGAAUAGGGGUUUGCGUCAAUGCGAGUGGGGCUGGGGAAGAUGAAUGGGGGAGAAGGAAGGAGCUGUCUUGUUUGUGGAAGAGGUUUUGAGGCGCGGAAUCCCUUAUGCUUCGGAGGAUAAAGAAGGGCAUAAAGGAGGGUCAACCGGGUAUCUUGCUUGGAAGAUGAUGGUAAGCAGUUGAUAUUCGAUUUUUUUUAGUAGCAGUAGUGAUCUUUGAGGUUGAGUAAAGGGAGCUUCAUGAGAUGCUCCUCUUAUGAUGGCAUAUGAUAAGAUGUCCCCAUAUGUUUGUGUCCAUCCUACUACCUGAAAUAUGUGUUCCAAAUCAAGGUUAAGUGAAUGCCAAAUCUAUACAGGAAUUCAAUUUUGUAAAUAUUGCCUUCCAAGUAUUUGUUUUUAUUUACUUGUUCUUCCUCAAACCAGGCUUUAUAGGCCACUGUGGUCUCAAGUCCAAUUUCCUUGGCUAAUCCAUUCACUAGAUAUCUCGAACUUGUUAAUGGAAUCACUGAGUCUUGAUCACCACUGCAUACAGAAAUGACUUUGAUUGCUUCAUAAAUGCUAUGUGGAGUCAGCUAAAUGUCAGGGAUUAAACAAAUUCAAUUACUUGUAUACCAGGACCCUACUAAAAUCAGAUGGAAAUUUUUUGUGGUCUAUCACUUUUCCAUUUUUUCUGAUCAUAAAUAUUUGCAUCUCUAAAGCCCAACAUCAGUGUGCAUUCAGUAGGGUCCACACAUCAUUGUGAUUUCUCAAUGUAGCUAUUGGAUUACACAAUGUUGGAUUCCAUUGUUAAGAAGAAAAAGGGUUGUGAAAAUGCUCUAAGACUAUGUGUGUAUGGAUUGAUAGACAGGUCUUUCCAUAUCAGUACAUGGAAAAUGAAAUGAUAUUGUGCUAAUCUUUUGUUUUUGAGGCAGAUUUGUAUACUUGGAGCACUGAUUUUCUUGGUGCUUGCUUACGUAUAUAGUUUGUAUAGUUUUAAUGUGAAAUGGAACAAUACCAGUGGAACAACAAUGUUGUACU